CACGUAGGGCGCAAGCGUUGUCCGGAAUUAUUGGGCGUAAAGAGCGUGUAGGCGGCUUGGCAAGUCCGCUGUGAAAACUCGAGGCUCAACCUCGAGACGUCGGUGGAAACUGCCUCGCUAGAGUCCGGAAGAGGAGAGUGGAAUUCCUGGUGUAGCGGUGAAAUGCGCAGAUAUCAGGAAGAACACCCGUGGCUAAGGCGGCUCUCUAGUACGGUACUGACGCUGAGACGCGAAAGCGUGGGGAGCGAACAGG
rnacentral:rRNA from 1 species